AGAGUUUGAUCAUGGCUCAGAAUGAACGUUGGCGGCGUGGAUUAGGCAUGCAAGUCGAGCGAGAACCGUAGCAAUACGGGGACAGCGGCGAAAGGGAGAGGAACACGUGGAUACCUACCCUCGGGUUCAGGAUAGCUGUGGGAAACUACAGGUAAUACUGAAUAACAUCUCCGGAUCAAAGGUGUGAUUCCGCCGGAGGAUGGGUCCACGUCCUAUUAGCUAGUUGGUGAGGUAACGGCUCACCAAGGCGAAGAUGGGUACGGGGUGUGAGAGCAUGCCCCCGCUCACUGGGACUGAGACACUGCCCAGACACCUACGGGUGGCUGCAGUCGAGAAUCUUCGGCAAUGGGCGCAAGCCUGACCGAGCGACGCCGCGUGCGGGAUGAAGGCCUUCGGGUUGUAAACCGCUGUCAGAGGGGAGGAAAUAUCGGGGGGUUCUCCCUCCGGUUUGACCUAUCCUCAGAGGAAGGACGGGCUAAGUUCGUGCCAGCAGCCGCGGUAAGACGAACCGUCCAAACGUUAUUCGGAAUCACUGGGCUUAAAGGGUGCGUAGGCGGCCCGGGAAGUUGGGUGUGAAAGCCCUCGGCUCAACCGAGGAAUAGCGCCCAAAACUGCCGGGCUCGAGGGAGACAUAGGUGAGCGGAACUUAGGGUGGAGCGGUGAAAUGCUGAGAUCCUAAGGAACACCAGUAGCGAAAGCGGCUCACUGCUCUUCUGACGCUGAGUGCACGAAAGCUAGGGGAGCGAAGAGGAUUAGAUACCCUAGUAGUCC
rnacentral:rRNA from 1 species